rnacentral:rRNA from 1 species
UACGGGGGGAGCAAGCGUUGUUCGGAUUUACUGGGCGUAAAGGGCGCGUAGGCGGCGCAACAAGUCACUUGUGAAAUCUCCGGGCUUAACCCGGAGCGGCCAAGUGAUACUGUCGUGCCAGAGUGCGGAAGGGGCUACUGGAAUUCUCGGUGGUAGCGGUGAAAUGCGUAGAUAUCGAGAGGAACACCUGCGGCGAAGGCGGGUUGCUGGGCUGACACUGACGCUGAGGCGCGAAGCUAGGGUAGCAAACGGG